UUUGCAAUAUUUGAUGGCCAUUUGAGCCACGAGAUUCCUGAGUACCUCCGCUCUCAUCUAUUCAACAAUAUUCUCAAUGAGCCUAACUUCUGGGCUGAACCGGAGUCUGCAAUCAGGAAAGCCUACCGUAUAACAGAUACAACUAUUUUGGAUAAGGCUGCUGAUUUGGGUAAAGGAGGAUCCACUGCUGUUACAGCCAUAUUGAUUAAUGGUCAGAAACUAGUUGUUGCUAAUGUCGGAGAUUCUCGUGCCGUCAUUUACAAAAAUGGAGUGGCCAAGCAGCUGUCCAUCGAUCAUGAGCCUGGCAGGGAGAGGGAGAUCAUCGAGGGCAAAGGUGGUUUCGUGUCCAAUUUUCCAGGUGAUGUUCCUCGGGUUGAUGGGCAGUUAGCAGUAGCAAGAGCAUUUGGCGACAAGAGCUUGAAGAUGCAUUUAAGUUCAGAGCCAGAUGUAGUGGUAGAGCUCAUAGAUGAUGACACAGAGUUUCUCAUUUUGGCUAGUGACGGCGUAUGGAAGGUACUGUCGAAUCAGGAAGCUGCAGAUUGCAUUAAAGAUAUUAAGGAUGCGCGAUCAGCUGCAAAGCAUCUCAAUGAACAUGCUCUUGCAAGGGGAAGUACCGAUGAUAUAUCCUGCGUAGUUGUAAGGUUCCAAUAAUCUUCUCUCUCUGCACUUGUUAGAUGAUGAAACGUGUGCUUAGAUCGUAUAGUUUCUUUGAAAUGUAAAAUCUGAACUAGUACUUGCUUUUGUCGAUGGUUUGGUUGGUCGUGUUACUGUAUAAACGUUUUAAAGUUCCAACAUCAGGAGCUGUUCGCACACGAACUUCAAAUAAACGGAAUGUUGUUUGCUAGG
rnacentral:misc_RNA from 1 species